UGAGCCCAAACAGAGAUUAGUCUCGCGAGCAAGAAAGUUCACGUUGACAGUGAUUUGCCACCAUACUCUCUUUACCUUGCCUUAUUAUACAGCAAUACAUCACCAGUAACCUCAAUUACAAAUGCCGUAACUUACAAAAACCUUUAUGUACACAUUUAGUUAAUUUGAAGCUGGAUUCAAAUGUGGUUAAAGGGUCAGUCUGCCUAAAUGACAGACAACUUUGUUCUUAUGUGCCUUCACAUGAUCAGGGAUCCAUUUAAGAGAUUUUUGCCCACACUCUAAUAUAAUACAGGAGAAUGGAAUUCAGCAUGUGAUGUGAAAGGCACUGAAGAAUGACAUCUAAAACAAUCCUCUUCCUUCAUCCAGUGUAGACAUUAUGUCUACUUAUGCUCUCUACAAUGCAAAAGAAAACACAACGGUUACCAUUGUAUAUUUCUACUAACCACAGAUUUUCUCAAGUAAUAACUGAUGAUGAGUUGUGAAACGGCUGGUUAGGAACACAACCACGCAAUUGUUAAAGGGUUGCGUGAGGCGGUUGCCCUCACAGCCACAACAUAUACCCCUUUUCCACCCAGGCAGAACUGGUGCUAGUUCGGAGCCAGAGCCUAGUUUCAAAUCGGUUCUUUGGUUUUCCACCACCAAAGCACCAGCUCCGAACCAGUAAAAGUGGUUCUUAAGUAGCACCAUAUCAUUGCUGGUCUAGAAGUAAGAACCGCUUACGUCAGCGGCUGAGGGCGGGGUUACCGUGACCAACAAGACGAGAGAAACUUUGUGAUCCGCCAUUUUUCGAUAGCAGCUAAUCGAGCAAACAACAACACAAUGGACGCUACUAGGCAAAAACAGCACUGGUCAGACGAGGAAACAAGCUGCUUUCUUGCACUCUGGUCCUCUUCAGAAGUCCAGAACAACGUUGAGUUGCCGCCACCGCUGGGCUGCAGCUCUUCCGUGCCAUCGUGUAGCAGCUCUGGAGAAGCAUUUUCAGAACGGAGAAAAAGGAAGAGAGAUGGUACCUCGGAAAUCCUUCAAUAUCUGGAAAGGGCAGAUGAGAGGUUCCUGCAGCACAGCAAGGCAAUGGAUAAUGUCUUGUGUCAGGACAUGAGAGCGGACACACAAACCCUGCUUGGACUCAUGGGGCGCAUGGUGGCCGUAUUGGAGGCACAAGUUAAAAAAUAACUUUGGUUGCCGCUUUUCAUGUCAUUUUUUAUAUAUUUUUUUACAAUUGUUACCUACAGAACUUUAUUUUUUAAGAUUUCUGUUGUUUUUUGGUUUAAAUAAACAUGUUUAGUAAUGCAAAUAUCUGGUCCAGUUUCUUAAACACUUAACAUGCAAAUAUUGCAUUAUGGUUUGUGUUUUUAAUGCAAUUUACUUUUAUAUAAAUGUGUACAUUAAACAGCCAAGUGAUGCAAUUAGCUGCAUAUACAAAUCUAUAUUAUUUCGAUAUGAAAAAUGAUUAAAAUCCAAAUUACUUCAUGAUUGGAAGUUAAUAAAAACUUGGUUGGUUUUAAUCCCGGCCAGAAGUGUGAAA